UACGUAGGUGGCAAGCGUUGUCCGGAUUUACUGGGCGUAAAGAGCGCGCAGGCGGCUGGCCAAGUCCGAUGUGAAAUCUCCCGGCUUAACUGGGAAACUGCAUCGGAAACUGACCGGCUUGAGGUUGGGAGAGGGUGAGUGGAAUUCCAGGUGUAGCGGUGAAAUGCGUAGAUAUCUGGAGGAACACCGGUGGCGAAGGCGGCAUCCUGGACC
rnacentral:rRNA from 1 species